AAGCCAUGCAUGUCUUCGAAUAUGAGGUAGCAAUUCUCUCUGAAUCUGCGAACGGCUCCGCAAACCAGUUGUAAGACACAGCAGUCCCGGGCCUAUCCCCUAGCUUCGCGGCCGGGGGGUAGCCCAUCUAUAUGGAUAACCCUGGUAAUUCUGAGGCUAAUACAUGACACAAUCAAACUUCCGUCGCCAGGGCCCUCACGGGCCUAGGCGGUGGGAGGGCGUGCGAGUUAAGGCUUGGGUAAUCAGGACAGAACGCACGCACUGGACCGCCAUUAAGCGGGGUGGGGAUGGGCCUUCACGGGCCUGACCCUGCCCUGGCGGCUCCUGGGUAUCGCUUCUGACCUAUCAAUUAGACGGCAGCUUAUGGGACAUGCUAUGGUGGCAACGGGUACAGAGGAUAAGGGUUCGAUCCUGGAGAGUGGGCCUGAGAGAUUGCUCAUACUUCUAAGGAAGGCAGCAGGCGCGCAACGUUCCCCUUGGACAAUGUCCGAGGGCGUUAGGGGACAUAUGAAUGGCUGCCUUUACGGUGGCCAAUUCAAAUGGGUCUGUCGUAAACAGGCUCUCGAGUAACAAUUAGAGGA
rnacentral:rRNA from 1 species